rnacentral:misc_RNA from 1 species
GAGAUUGUUUCGUGGUGACGAGGAGCUGAACGCACUGGGCUGGAAGAAUUCCUUCAGCCAAGGGAUUGGCAUCACUGCGCCCAAAGCAAGAACGCGUGACAAACCUUUGAGUACUAGGGUCUUGUUUUGUCUCUAAUUUUGGGUCUUUUCGGGACGAGAAUUGGUGUUUGAUUUCAGUAUUUGAGAACAAUAAACAUUGAAACC